AUUUGCUCUGGUGCUAGAAGCCCAGAUAGCAGCUGGAGAUCGACGAACUCCGAUCCCUCCUAGUGCGGCGGCACACAGCAGUUCUAAGGAAUCUCUUUUUUUACGCUGGCAUGUUUUGGCAGCAGGAUGGAUGGUAAUUACCUGCUGCCCACUGCUCUGAAUGGCUGGAACACUAGCGACGUCGACGGAGGCAGGGACGAUGGCUCCUGCAAACACGCUUACAGUUGGAACAACGCUAAUGUGGUUGCUUGCCCUGCUUGCACUACGAUCUCCAGACGGAUCCAUCCCCUUGUUACAAUGAAACCCGAACUGCGUUGCUGGUUGCAGAGAAGAGGGAGGCGAGGGCUAAGGGGAGAAAUGUCAUGACUGAAAAUCCUUAGAAGCAAAAACAAUAAAGCCGGGCAGCCACCUCUUGGACGCUGGCCUUGAUGCCUUUGAUGCCUUCUGAACUGUGGAUGUUUGCUUGUAGCUUGAGGUUUCGUGCAUCUGGUUGACUCAGACUUUGGGCCUGACAAUGUACCUCCUUCCAACCACAGGACCAAUGGAGAUGCUGCCCGCCUCCUCACAUUAAUGGAGGCUGCUACUAGACUGUUAUCUUUAGCUAUGGCCGUCCGAUCAGCGCCGCGAUGCGGGUGAACACACGUGGCGUUGACAUCGGGAGGUCUCUCUGGAACGUAGGACUCCACAAGACGGAGACGCCAGCCGGGGAGGCGGCGAGCGAAUCCUUUCGCCGGCGACUGCAGUGGAGGUUGCCCGGCGCUGGCGACGGCGCCAUCCCGUCCCAGAGCUCGAGUGGAGACACUCAUGGCGGCUUGAUCUACACCGAGACCGACGCCGCUGCUAUCCAGUACGACUACGGAGUUGACGAC